rnacentral:rRNA from 1 species
GGGUCAGUAGGUUGGUCGUGCCACCGGUACGUACUGGUCUCACUGAUUCCUCCUUCCUGAAGAACCGUAAUGCCAUUAAUUUGGUGUUGCGGGGAAACAGGACUGUUACUUUGAAAAAAUUAGAGUGUUUAAAGCAAGCUAACGCUUGAAUACAUUAGCAUGGAAUAAUGAAAUAGGACGAUCGAUCCUAUUCCGUUGGUUUCUAGGAUUGACGUA